CUCUAUGGUGCUUAGAAGAUGGGAAGGGAAAAACUGUAAAAGAAGAAAAAGGAAAUUAUGCAUUGCAACUAUAUCCUGAAUCAAACAACUAAAAAGCACAGCUUGUAAGGAGAGUAAUGGUGCUCGCUUGCAGCAAAGGGGCAGCUGGAGGCUGGGCCUAGAAGCACCCUGAGCAGAUCUGCUCUUCCUGCUAUCUAAAAGUGCAUGGCCUAGGCCUUCAGAUGCCAUGGACGAAAGGAUCACGUUGUGUUCCAGAAAUGAUUAAUACUUAGAUGUGCCUUUUAUUUGGAAGCAAUGACAUAGAUGUUUUGGAAGAGGGGGCUGGACUGAAUGGGACAUUGUACUUAACAGUCUCAGAAACUUUAUAAUAUUAGACAGAAGGGACAGAAGGCUUCUCUGGCUGAGUGGAAAUAGGGCUUUCUGCGCAAGGGGAAGCUGUACCUUCACAGAUGCUCUUUGGGACCAUCAGGAGAUGAACUGUGUCUGGACAAGGCUUACACAAACAAAACCUCCAGCCAGUCUGUAUUGGGAGCAGACUAUCUGGCCAUCAGCAAUUGCAGCAAUGAGAGUAUGCAGACAGUUCAGAGAUGAACAGGAGGUCAGAUGGUAUCUGUACGGAUGAACUGAGGGCACCAUGAACUUAUGUGUGUGUGACAUAGCUCCUAAUCUGGGUAAUUCAGGGACAGCUGCUCAGUGACUGCAUUCAGUUAGUGCUGUGAAGGCUUGUGCUUUAAGGUAGGAUUCCUUCAUCGUUUCUGGUUUUGUUUCAGAGCAAUUUUGUAUGUUUGUUAAUGAACUUAUGUGAUCCUUUUCUCAGUGGUUUACGAAUUCAGCAUUACUAUUGGGUUAAUACUAUUUUUUUUAUUUACUAUUGGGCCAUCUUUUCCCUUUAUUAGACAUUCUGUUGUCUUUGUUAUCCCUCAGCCCAGUACUACCCUAGUCUCAAGAUUUAAUUUCUUUAGUAACC
rnacentral:lncRNA from 1 species